CAGGCAAGCAACGAAGACCAGAUGAAAUGCUGCUUGAAGGGCUGGCAUAUCUAGAAUUGGUGGUAGAAAUAUCUUUGCUUGAAAGUUUGCUCAAGAAACACCAUGCAUAUUUGACAUCAUAAGGAAAGAAAUGAGCAGAACCAUACAUCCAACUUACAUUGCAAUUACUGCAGAGGAAGAGAGAUGGAGAAGUUAAAAUGAAACAUUUCAAGGAUGAAUGGGCACUGAAAAUUGGUAAAGUGGCAGAAAAGUCCAAGCUUGAAGAAUGAAAAAGUAAAUGUAUGGAGAAAAAGGAGUUUGGAAAACAGGAAAAAAAAAGAUAUUUUGCAGAAACAUCUGUUUGCUGUUGCUAAAAAUUUUAGCAUUUAAAUGUUCUCAUUUGGGCUCUGAAGUUAGCACUUCCUUGAAGUAGUUCACACCUUUGCUAUUGCUCCUGUUCAGCUACAGAUCAUUUUAUGCAAGGCUGAUUUUAACAAGAAAAUGGUGCAUUAAUUUA
rnacentral:lncRNA from 1 species